UACGUAGGUGGCAAGCGUUGUCCGGAUUUACUGGGCGUAAAGAGCGCGCAGGCGGCCAAGUCAGUCGAAUGUGAAAGCCCCCGGCUCAACUGGGGAGGGUCAUUCGAUACUGCUCGGCUCGAAGACAGGAGAGGGUAGUGGAAUUCCCGGUGUAGUGGUGAAAUGCGUAGAUAUCGGGAGGAACACCAGUGGCGAAGGCGACUACCUGGCCUGUUCUUGACGCUGAGGCGCGAAAGCUAGGGGAGCAAACGGG
rnacentral:rRNA from 1 species